UGGGGAAUAUUGCACAAUGGGGGAAACCCUGAUGCAGCGACGCCGCGUGAGCGAAGAAGGUUUUCGAAUCGUAAAGCUCUGUCCUAUGAGAAGAUAAUGACGGUAUCAUAGGAGGAAGCCCCGGCUAAAUACGUGCCAGCAGCCGCGGUAAUACGUAUGGGGCGAGCGUUGUCCGGAAUUAUUGGGCGUAAAGGGUACGUAGGCGGUCUAUUAAGUCAGGUGUGAAAGCGUGAGGCUUAACCUCAUUAAGCACUUGAAACUGAUAGACUUGAGUGAAGGAGAGGAAAGUGUAAUUCCUCGUGUAGCGGUGAAAUGCGUAGAUAUUAGGAGGAAUACCGGUGGCGAAGGCGACUUUCUGGACUUUUACUGACGCUCAGGUACGAAAGCGUGGGGAGCAAACAGG
rnacentral:rRNA from 1 species